rnacentral:tRNA from 1 species
UCUAAAAUGGCAGAGCGUAUGUGUAGGAUUUAGGAUCCUAGAACGGAGUUAUUUUAACACUCCUUUUAGAA